rnacentral:rRNA from 1 species
GACGAACGCUGGCGGCGUGCCUAAUACAUGCAAGUUGAGCGCUGAAGGUUGGUACUUGUACCAACUGGAUGAGCAGCGAACGGGUGAGUAACGCGUGGGGAAUCUGCCUUUGGGCGGGGGACAACAUUUGGAAACGAAUGCUAAUACCGCAUAAAAACUUUAAACACAAGUUUUAAGUUUGAAAGAUGCAAUUGCAUCACUCAAAGAUGAUCCCGCGUUGUAUUAGCUAGUUGGUGAGGUAAAGGCUCACCAAGGCGAUGAUACAUAGCCGACCUGAGAGGGUGAUCGGCCACAUUGGGACUGAGACACGGCCCAAACUCCUACGGGAGGCAGCAGUAGGGAAUCUUCGGCGAUGGACGAAAGUCUGACCGAGCAACGCCGCGUGAGUGAAGAAGGUUUUCGGAUCGUAAAACUCUGUUGGUAGAGAAGAACGUUGGUGAGAGUGGAAAGCUCAUCAAGUGACGGUAACUACCCAGAAAGGGACGGCUAACUACGUG